AAAGACAUUGUAAAGAUUUGUUUUAUCAUAUUCUGUACUGAUCUGGGUUUUCUUAUCUUAACCAGGAGAAUCGAAGGGGCAUGCCUCCUUUCAAGCCCAUCAAACUCUUUGGGGUAAGCAGCAAAGACAAUUAUAUUACAAUUUCCAUCCCGGCAUCAGAUCGCCCUAGAGAACAUUCAUUUUAGUAUCUUCUCUAGGGAACUGAGUUAAUGUAGUUCUGUGGGGCUGAAUUAAUGGGAAUAGUUUUAUACGUUGUGUUAGAUUGUAACACGCAGACUGUAGUCUAAAGAUUGUAACUGACUUUAUUUUUAAUCCCCUUUUCCUGUCUUUUCAACAGCCAACAUCAUCGGAGGAGAGCAGUGACAGUGAAGAAGAACUGAGCGAGGAGGAAGCCCCCUCAGAGUUCAGCUCGAGGCGCUGUCUGUACUCAAUUGUCUUUUAACCAGACCCAGAGAGCAGCGGCAAUAACAUCAGCCUCCUGAGGUGGAGCAAAAACAUCUGAGCUGUAACACCUGCUGUAUCUAGUAGAAUUAGGUCUGAGGCAACUGGACUUUUCUGAGUUCUUCUUGGAAACGUUUCCCCUACUCA